rnacentral:misc_RNA from 1 species
CUCUCUGUAGCUAAGAGUUAAUAGAGAUAUCAGUCUAUCACACAAGUCAGCACUCCCAGAUUUUACAAGUCUCAAAGGGAUAAAGGGAUAUGGAAACUAACCAAGUACAGUUAUUUACACGAAAGAGAGGAGGGCGGGGCGAGAGCAAAAGGAAAGCUAAAAGGAGGAAGGACUAAGUGUGAAAUUUUGCAUUGAGAAAUUCUUCAAGCAGCAGGCAUUGAGGUUGAGAUGACCACAUAGGGUAAAUAUUGAAGGCCGUCCUGAAUUUUGCCCAUGGCUGUGCUAUGAGCAGCACGAAGAUUCUCAGCAUAUGCAUUGGCCUUCUCCUGGAUUGAUUUCUGUGGAACCUCAUGUGAAUCAGCAGAUACACUCUUCACUGCUGCUAAAUACGCUUCAGACACUUCAGAUAUCCCUGUAAUGAAGCUGGAAGAAACUGUUUCAACACAUCGAGUCAUUGAACAUGCCUUUGAUCGGAUUACCUUAGCUCUUUCAAUUGAAUCCUCCGGCCAUUCCAUUUUCAGAAUUUCCACAUUUGCAUCUUGGUCCCCAACUUUAUUUGCAGUUGAAAUGAUUGAUUUCCCAAGCAUUACAAGUUGAGUCGCAGCAAAACAACACAACUCUGAAAGUCUAUGAACACCCUCUGAAUGAAGAGUAUCCAGUCUUCGAGCAGUCCUUUGAACCAUGUCAUUAGGAGCUAGUCCAACCAAAACAUUUGUAAAUCCUGCUGCCAAUUCUGCAGCCUUGUCCACACUAGAAUCAUGCAAAUUCUUCACCUCAUCUGUGCUGUCUGCAAUGCCAGUUUCAACUUCCUUUCCUUUUCCCGACUCUUUACCACUUUCAUAUGCUUCAGAACUCAAGUCAAAAAUCUCUUGAACCUCUUUAAAUUUUCCAUCAUACGAAGACCUUUGAUCAGAUGGAAUCUUCGCUUUUCUUCUGUUGAACAACAAAGCAUAAUGGUUGGACAAUGCCUCCAACUCCUCCAAUUGCUCGGGACCUCCAUAAAUAUAAAAGCAUCUAUCAAAUGUAACUUCUUCAUAAAACUGAUCUUCAUCUGUUUCUCCUCCCCCUUCUUUGGAGCCUGAAUCAACUCUAAUACCAGUUUCUGAGAUCAGAAGAUCCAUAGUUUCUUUUCCAAGUAGCUCAAGCACAUGCAUUCCUUUAGCAGUAAAAGCUUUCCCAGUCUCUAGUAUGGAUGGUGCAACAGAACCAGUUGUGGCAGGUAAGCCACCAUGCUGAACUGAUUCAGCAAUACUUGCAGCCGAAUUUUCAAGCUUGUGGACUAAAUCAGAACUUCCUUUGAAUGCAUUUCCUAAUGCUUGCCAAGCUCCUGAAGCGAAAUUCUCGACAGAAUGGUCAAUAACUCUCAAACCCUGGCCAAGCAACGAGUCUUCACUAGCUUUCUCUAAUUUUUCAAGAGCAGCCUUACGUUUUUUAUCAUUCUCAUCUUCACUCUCCUCUUCAACCAAUACUUCUCGUUCAUCCUCUUUCAAGGAUUCGGUGUCUUCCAGAGAAUUUUGCACAUCUGCAAGGCUCUUUGCAGCUGAUUUAGCAGCUUCAACGGCAUUGCGGGAGAUCUCUUCGGCAGCGGUGGUAGCAGCUUUCUGAAUGUCCGAGAUAUAAGAAAACGCAGAAAAUCCCCAUCCUCCCCAUCCUCCACCACCGUCAGCGACUUCUGGUACCGGAGGUGGCUGAGCUUCUUCUUGCUUUUCAACAAUCGCUUCAGUCGGAGGCUUCGUCGUGUCGUCCACCAUCUGAGAAAAUCGUAGCGUCG